GCCUGUUCGAGCGUCAUUACAACCCUCAAGCUCUGCUUGGUAUUGGGCGUCACCACCUGGUGCGCCCCAAAAUCAGUGGCGGUGCGUCUGGCUUCAAGCGUAGUAAUUUCUCUCGCUUUGGAGUCCGGGCGAGUGCUCGCCAGAACCCCCAAUUUAUCAAGGUUGACCUCGGAUCAGGUAGGGAUACCCGCUGAACUUAA
rnacentral:misc_RNA from 1 species